GCGGAACAUGAUAGCCGGGAGUCAGCGACAACAAGGAUUUCACACUUGAAGCUUUUUUUUAACCUGACUGUCAAAUGUUUUAGCAGCAACACAGUUUUCAGGCGUACUGCGUGGGCAACUUAUGAUCAGUCAAGUAUGCUAGCUGCAGCAGUAGCAGGAUACAAUUUUCCUAAAAAUGUAGCUUUUUAGCUUUAUUUCAGCGCAGGGAUUUAUUUUUUUUUGUCACUGCCACUAGACAGAAAAUAUUUACAUUUAUGUCCCACAAUAGCUGGGUUUCCAUUAACCUAUAAAAUUGUGCAACUUGAAAUUACAAAACAGAUUUGCUUAACGGAAACGCGGCAAUUUUGGUAAAACUCAGGUUUUUCGAUAAUGUGUAUCAUUUUGCUAGGAUGAAGUGGUUUUUCAGCUGCAUUGAAAUAAAUUUUUUGAUAAAUUUUUUUUAUAUAUUUCGAUACAUUAUCAAAAAAUUCCUGCUUUUCAAUAUAUAAAAAAAAUACGUUGCAAAAACUCAAUAUAGUUUUUAUAUAUCAUCAAAAAACUCCUGUACUUCAAUAAUAUACAUAUAUUUUUUGCUAGGAUUAAGUGGUUUUUCAGAUGUACCAAAAUAAGAAUUUUUACAAAACCACAGUGGAAAAACUUUUUUUCGCAUCACACGAGUCACGGGAGCAAGAGCCAAAUGUUACUACUACUGGCGGAAACUGCAAAGAAGAUGACAGGAAGUGAUCGGGGGAUGAUGGUGUAAGGCACUUGUCGCUUCAACGCCUGAAAAAGACGCAGACGUCUCCUCUGAUUGCUGAACUAUGAUUAUAUCUCAUGUCACUGUUUACAUCCAUUGCUGCCAUUAUUUAUAAAGGCUCACCGCGCAAACAAGUUAUUCACAGCAGGUUGAUAGCUGACGAGAGAGUGUGGGUGUGCUCCAAGGCCAGUUCUCCAAGUCCAGCCGCGUGGGCCCAGUCCAGAACCAGGUCGAGAUUGGCCCGCAUUCGCACUCCUCUGGACCACUGGUAGAAGCCUGGUUCUGAGCCUGGGUGCACAUGAAGAGAAAACUGGUACCUCUCUCCAUGAGUGAGUUGAAGAGCGAUGCAUUUAUGAAGUAGAAGAGGUAGCCAAUGAGCUGAGAGGAAACCUCUGGGUGGACCUGACAGUCUAACAGCAGCCUCCAGCUCUCGUUCAGAACC